AGGACGAACGCUGGCGGCGUGCUUAACACAUGCAAGUCGAACGGAAAGGCCCUUCGGGGUACUCGAGUGGCGAACGGGUGAGUAACACGUGGGUGAUCUGCCCCGCACUUUGGGAUAAGCCUGGGAAACUGGGUCUAAUACCGAAUAGGACCAUGGCAUGCAUGUGCUGUGGUGGAAAGCUUUUGCGGUGUGGGAUGGGCCCGCGGCCUAUCAGCUUGUUGGUGGGGUUAAGGCCUACCAAGGCGACGACGGGUAGCCGGCCUGAGAGGGUGUCCGGCCACACUGGGACUGAGAUACGGCCCAGACUCCUACGGGAGGCAGCAGUGGGGAAUAUUGCACAAUGGGCGCAAGCCUGAUGCAGCGACGCCGCGUGGGGGAUGACGGCCGUUCGGUUGUAAACCCUUUCAGUAGGGACGAAGCGCAAGUGACGGUACCUACAGAAGAAGCACCGGCCAACUACGUGCCAGCAGCCGC
rnacentral:rRNA from 1 species